rnacentral:rRNA from 2 species
CGCAAGGUUGAAACUCAAGGAAUUGACGGGGCCCGCACAGCGGUGGAGCAUGUGGUUUAAUUCGAAGCUACGCGAAGAACCUUACCAGGUCUUGACAUCUUGCGCCAACCCUAGAGAUAGGGCGUUUCCUUCGGGAACGCAAUGACAGGUGGUGCAUGGUCGUCGUCAGCUCGUGUCGUGAGAUGUUGGGUUAAGUCCCGCAACGAGCGCAACCCUUGUUACUAGUUGCCAGCAUUCAGUUGGGCACUCUAGUGAGACUGCCGGUGACAAACCGGAGGAAGGUGGGGACGACGUCAGAUCAUCAUGCCCCCUUAUGACCUGGGCUACACACGUGCUACAAUGGACGGUACAAACGAGUCGCGAACUCGCGAGGGCAAGCUAAUCUCUUAAAAACCGUUCUCAGUUCGGACUGCAGGCUGCAACUCGCCUGCACGAAGUCGGAAUCGCUAGUAAUCGCGGAUCAGCAUGCCGCGGUGAAUACGUUCCCGGGCCUUGUACACACCGCCCGUCACACCAUGAGAGUUUGCAACACCCAAAGUCGGUGG